CCUCCCAGCUGCUCCUGAUAUUCUCACAUGUGAACAAUGGCGCCUGUAUGGGAACAUUCAGAGAAAAUGUCACCGAGGUUCUGAAAUGAUAACCAGAAAACACACUGCGAUGGUCUGACUGGGCCCGAAGCCACACCACCAAGCUGUGAUCCUGGCAAAACCCACAAGGCACCUCUUCUCUUGAUACUGAACCAUCACAUCAAAGGAAAACAAAGCCCUGUGAACCACCAUGGCCCAUUGGUUGUCAAAGAACUUCUCAGAAAAUAAACUAAUGUCUAC